ensembl:lncRNA
ACCACAUCACCGUUUAGAUGGGGCUUGACAAUUCACGUUUGGCCAAGAUGUCAGCGACAAUAUGUGUUAAAAUGUGCUGCUGUGUGUGUACGUUCCCCCUCCUUCCCUCCCUCUUCUCCUGCCUUGAUUUAGGAUGAUGCCUGGCAGAGUGUAUGUGUGUGUGGGAGGGAAAGCGAGAGAAGGAUGGAGAGGAAGAGACGGGGGAGGGAGAUUGAGAAUGCUAUGAUAGUUGUUGUUCACAUAGAGGGAGAGAUAGAUAAAGGAUGAGAAGGAGAGGGAGAAAAGAGGGGAAUAUUCUAUUGUGUAGUAUAGUAUUAUGUGUAUAAAUAGAGAGAGAGAGAGAGCGAGAGAGAAAGAAAGAUGAGUUGGGCUGGAGGGAGAGAGGCAGGCAGGCAGCGAGAGAGAAAGAGAGAUGAGGUGGGAUGGAGGGAGAGAGGCAGGCAGAGAGAGAGAGAAAGAGAGAUGAGGUGGGAUGGAGGGAGAGAGGCAGGCAGAGAGAGAGAGAAAGAGAGAUGAGGUGGGAUGGAGGGAGAGAGGCAGGCAGGCAGAGAGAGAGAGAAAGAGAGAUGAGGUGGGCUGGAGGGAG